AUGUUUCUGCUGGCUCAUUUAGACUGCUUCUCCUCACAUUCCUCUCAGCUGAUGAGGUGCCCCUCUAUGUUACAAGGAAUUCCUUUUACAUCACAGUGGUACAGCUGGUUAAAAACACCAUCUGUUCUCAUAAAUGCCUGGACUGUGUUUAGCCACACUGUACAAAACUUGAGAAUAGCUACUGAAAGCUGGAGACGAACCCUUACAGUACACUGGGUGACAUGUGAACACAUCCAACAGUUAAGUGAAGGACCAAAUACUAUAAAAAGUCAAGGAGACUUGGAUUUGGGACACUUAAAUGACAUCUGGAUUAAAUUGCUUCAACAUAAGAUACACACCCCGAAACAACUAGUGCCUGAGAAGAGACAGUAGCAGUACAGAGGGAAAAGAACUACGAACAAUCAGUGGUAACAUCACUUAAGAAGUGCUUAUUAUUUGCUUUUAAGAGAUGAUGGUUUCUUCCUUCAUAAGAAAGGAUAAAAGUUGGCAUGUGCGUUCGCAUACAGCAGUCUUGAAUACAAGUCCUGCUACAGAUAAUCUUUGUCCCCUAACACAAUUAACAAAUACGUAGGAAAUCCUGCAUUCCCAGAAUCUUUUGAUAACAGCUGACUGAUAAGACGCUUUCUCCUUCAGUUGAAGUGUGUUUAUAGCCUGGAAAGUGGGUCACAAGCUAGUAAGAAACAGCAUGCAAAGGUAAAACUAAAAAUGCUGCUACACAAACUUGAAGAAAGUAGAACACUCACAAUCAAACAGCAGUACUCUUUCUGGGUCGUUUUUCAGGUAAAAGGGAGAUACAAUUACAGUUGUGAAAAUACAUUCUAAGGAAUGAUGACCCCAAUCAGUAGAUCAGUGCCUUCUAAGUUAUACUAGGCACAGUAAUUGCACUGUCACCAGCCUGUAACUACUGUGCUUUCAUUUUAUUUUACCACAAAACAAGAAACAGAAAACUCACUAACCUAGAAUAUGCUGCAAGACCCUGUCAAAACCUUUACCUAAAAAGGUCAAUUUUUUUUUUAAUAAUUUCUUAUAAAAAAAUUUUCUUCAUUAAGCCUCUACUUUUCUUCUACUUUUCACAUGCUAUAUUUCACAUGAAAUAGAAAUAGUUUGUUGAGCUAGUAGUAUUUAGAUUGGAGUAAUAAAACUCUGUCCAUUAGGUCCAUGCUAAUAAAUGGUGACUGACUUCAGGAACUGCUUGCUUGUCACUAGUUCAGACACCACUAUACUGCACAAAGUUUUGUCUGUACAUUCUGAUUAACCACUCCUUAAUCCAACAAACUUAAAUAUACUCAGGAUCUAGACUGAUAAAUGAAGACUCAAG
rnacentral:lncRNA from 1 species